GGUGGUGGUCGCUCAGUGGUUAAGACAGUCUGCUUCUGAUCGGAAGGUUGUGAGUUCAAAUCCCAGCACCACCA